UUUGCCCCUUCCAUACGUCAUUUACAAUAGAGCUGUCUUUCUUUCCACAAAAAUAACUAACACUCAUCUUCAAACUAAAAUUACAUUCAAAUUACCGCCAUUACUGUAUAAAAAAAGACCUAAUCUCUUUCCCAAAAUUGUAAUCCUACCCUAAAUCAAAGCUAAUUCCUCCUUUUCUUCUAUUUAACCACUGAUUCAAUGUUAAUCUCAGUCAAUUGCGGAGCAAUUUAAAUAGAGAAACAUCACCGGUAGAACGGCAACAGAGCAACCUCGUCUAGAACAUUUACACAAUUGCAACUACUGCUGAUCAUAUUAAUUUUGGUAAUGUUUUGUUUAUUGAUGUUUUCAAUUUAUUUGUCUUUUUAAUCAUUUUGAAUUGUAUGUUUAAUUCAAGAAUUCCAUCACAAUCCCACAUACUACAGCUUUUCGAUUGAGAGGUUUUGAACAGUAGUUGACUUGAGGUAUUAUUGCCCUAGAUAGUGAAUAUGUUAGUUCAAAUCUGCACUAUUGGAUUAAUUUGAUAUUCGGUUACAACGAGAAAACCCAACAAUAGAGAUGAAGGUGUUGAUUUAGACUCAAUGGAAGAUGAGUUGCAGACAUCAACAAAUUGAAGACCAAAGUGCAAAUUUUGGCCGAACCAACUUGGAAAUUAUAUGAUGGAAACAUUACAAACUAUUGGUCAUGGAGAAGACUCAUAAAGUUUUGAUUAAUUAAAGAAUGCUAGUGAGAAUUAUAUUUGUCCGGUGCAAAUAAACUAAUAUGUCAAUUAUUUAUUGAAUAGAAUGUUUGUAAGAACUAAUAAUCAAUGAUUUUAUUUUUUGUUAAUCAUAGGAAAUACUUUUACUUAGAUAUAUCAAAAUUUGUUUAUUGUUA